rnacentral:rRNA from 1 species
CUUAACACAUGCAAGUCGAGGGGCAGCAUGGUCUUAGCUUGCUAAGGCCGAUGGCGACCGGCGCACGGGUGAGUAACACGUAUCCAACCUGCCGUCUACUCUUGGACAGCCUUCUGAAAGGAAGAUUAAUACAAGAUGGCAUCAUGAGUCCGCAUGUUCACAUGAUUAAAGGUAUUCCGGUAGACGAUGGGGAUGCGUUCCAUUAGAUAGUAGGCGGGGUAACGGCCCACCUAGUCUUCGAUGGAUAGGGGUUCUGAGAGGAAGGUCCCCCACAUUGGAACUGAGACACGGUCCAAACUCCUACGGGAGGCAGCAGUGAGGAAUAUUGGUCAAUGGGCGAGAGCCUGAACCAGCCAAGUAGCGUGAAGGAUGACUGCCCUAUGGGUUGUAAACUUCUUUUAUAAAGGAAUAAAGUCGGGUAUGCAUACCCGUUUGCAUGUACUUUAUGAAUAAGGAUCGGCUAACUCCGUGCCAGCAGCCGCGGUAAUACGGAGGAUCCGAGCGUUAUCCGGAUUUAUUGGGUUUAAAGGGAGCGUAGAUGGAUGUUUAAGUCAGUUGUGAAAGUUUGCGGCUCAACCGUAAAAUUGCAGUUGAUACUGGAUAUCUUGAGUGCAGUUGAGGCAGGCGGAAUUCGUGGUGUAGCGGUGAAAUGCUUAGAUAUCACGAAGAACUCCGAUUGCGAAGGCAGCCUGCUAAGCUGCAACUGACAUUGAGGCUCGAAAGUGUGGGUAUCAAACAGGAUUAGAUACCCUGGUAGUCCACACGGUAAACGAUGAAUACUCGCUGUUUGCGAUAUACAGCAAGCGGCCAAGCGAAAGCGUUAAGUAUUCCACCUGGGGAGUACGCCGGCAACGGUGAAACUCAAAGGAAUUGACGGGGGCCCGCACAAGCGGAGGAACAUGUGGUUUAAUUCGAUGAUACGCGAGGAACCUUACCCGGGCUUAAAUUGCAGAUGAAUUACGGUGAAAGCCGUAAGCCGCAAGGCAUCUGUGAAGGUGCUGCAUGGUUGUCGUCAGCUCGUGCCGUGAGGUGUCGGCUUAAGUGCCAUAACGAGCGCAACCCUUGUUGUCAGUUACUAACAGGUUCCGCUGAGGACUCUGGCAAGACUGCCAUCGUAAGAUGUGAGGAAGGUGGGGAUGACGUCAAAUCAGCACGGCCCUUACGUCCGGGGCUACACACGUGUUACAAUGGGGGGUACAGAGGGCCGCUACCACGCGAGUGGAUGCCAAUCCCCAAAACCUCUCUCAGUUCGGACUGGAGUCUGCAACCCGACUCCACGAAGCUGGAUUCGCUAGUAAUCGCGCAUCAGCCACGGCGCGGUGAAUACGUUCCCGGGCCUUGUACACACCGCCCGUCAAGCCAUGGGAGCCGGGGGUACCUGAAGUGCGUAACCGCGAGGAGCGCCCUAGGGUAAAACUGGUGACUGGGGCUAAGAC